rnacentral:lncRNA from 1 species
UUCUAUCAACAUUUUUGCUGAAAUAAACCAACAAUUUAUCAAAAUUGAUCACUUGUCCAGAAACACCUUCAUAUUGCAAUAAAAUUUCUUUCAUUUCAACCACUCUCUCCUCCUUUACCUCCCCAAAUCGAAUACUAUCAUCGUUAAAAAAUAAAUGCGUCAUCGUCAAAUCUCGUCUCCCCAACCUCUCACCUCUAAUCGUCUCCCCACACUUCUGCUUCCGUAAAAUUAACGAACAAUUCUUUGUUCAUACUCU